AAACAACGUCAACAACUACGUGGAUGACGUCAAGUUCCGUUACGUAUCUGUUGGGAACGAAGUGAAGAUCUUUGACUCUUACUCACAAUUUCUAGUCCCUGCCAUGGAAAAUAUUGACCGGGCGGUAUUAGGAUCCGGACUCGGCGGUCGUAUUAAGGUAUUACCACCAAAACUUUUGGCAUUUUAAAUUAUAAGUUUUCUCUUCUGCUCACCAUUUAAUUAAUUUUUACUUUAGUUUACAAUUCGCAAAAUAUUUUGCAAAAUAUUUUUUUUUUCCUGGUCACCAAUUCGUUAAUUUUAUUUUUGUUCACAGUUAGCAAAAUUAUCUAAUAAUCAAAGAAAUAUUUAUUUUCUAAUUGUAAAUCUUGUUUUGAAAACGUAAGUGCGUUUGAAAUGAAACAAUGGAACCGCUAAAUUGUCUUUUUAUUUUAUACGAAAUUUGGUAGCAUGCAUGUAUCUUUAUUGCGUUUGAAACAUUACGUUUUGUUGUAAAUGCUUGAUUCUUAAUAGGUAUCAACAGCGAUAGACAUGGGAGUGCUCGGAGAGUCUUACCCACCUUCAAAAGGUUCGUUUAAAGGAGAAGUAAUGGUGCUCAUGGAACCAAUCAUACGUUUCUUGGUAAACAAGAAAUCUCCUUUACACUUAAACCUCUACACUUACUUCAGCUACGCGGGCAAUCCAGACCAAAUCCGACUCGAUUACGCUCUCUUCACGGCUUCUCCAGGAACCGUCUCAGACCCUCCAAGAUCUUACCAGAACCUAUUCGAUGCGAUGCUCGAUGCGGUGCAUUCGGCUCUAGAGAGAUCUGGUGGUGAAUCGUUGGAUGUUGUCGUGUCGGAGACUGGAUGGCCAACGGAAGGAGGAACCGAGACUAAUCUGGAGAAUGCGAGGAUUUAUAGCAAUAAUUUGAUUAAUCAUGUGAAGAAUGGGACAC
rnacentral:lncRNA from 1 species